UACGAAGGGGGGCUAGCGUUGCUCGGAAUCACUGGGCGUAAAGCGCACGUAGGCGGAUCGUUAAGUCAGGGGUGAAAUCCUGGAGCUCAACUCCAGAACUGCCUUUGAUACUGGCGACCUUGAGUUCGGGAGAGGUGAGUGGAACUGCGAGUGUAGAGGUGAAAUUCGUAGAUAUUCGCAAGAACACCAGUGGCGAAGGCGGCUCACUGGCCCGAUACUGACGCUGAGGCACGAAAGCGUGGGGAGCAAACAGGGA
rnacentral:rRNA from 1 species